rnacentral:tRNA from 1 species
GAGGAUAUAGCUCAGUGGUAGAGCACGUGCUUAGCAUGCACAAGGUCCUGGGUUCAAUCCCUGAUACUUCCA